rnacentral:lncRNA from 1 species
CUGGCUGACUCUCUUCUCAUAUGUUGGAAGGAUGGAAGAAAGUGAGAAUAAGACUAAAAAAUUUAAAAGAUGGGUAUUUUCGUCUGUUACGUGGGCUCCUAUAAGAGGUAUAGUAUAGAGAGAGAUAUUUUUAAGUAUAGGGACAUUGAAGCCUUUUUAUAGGUGAAUAUCAGUAGGAGAUUUUGUAUAUUUUAGAUGUAGG